rnacentral:lncRNA from 1 species
UACUCUGUAGGUGUUACACACACACACACAAAAAAAAAAAAAAAAAGCUCUGGACUUUAGACCUAUACAUGCUUCUGACGUAGGUCCUAAACUUUUUAAAAAGCAGACAGUAAUAAAAAGUAAAGAAAUCAGAAGUACUUUGAGUGCCAAUUCCAGACGUUAAUUACCACAGAGCGAUUGCGACAGUGUAGAACUGAAACAACAUUUUCGUGCUAAAUUUUAACAGCAGAAGUAUAGUGAAUGUUACACUGAAACACUGACAAUGUAAAUACUGAGGUAAGUGAUAGGUAUAUUUCAACCAUCUGGGCUUUUGCCCCUUUCAAUAUUUGUUUGCCAGUUCAUUCUCCUACCUAUAAUCUAGAGGUUUAUGGCAAAGUAAACUUAUUAAACCUAACAACCAUAUUUUCAUUUGGAAGCCAAGCCAACUGUCAAUAAACAUCAAAAGAACUACUUGUUCUUCAGAGGAUCUGUUCAAAGAGAGGGUUCAUGCAUCACACAAUUGCUGGAGUAAAAAUUCUUUAUUGAGGUUUUUUCAUGGAUGCUAUCACUUAUGAACCUUCCAGAUCUCCCCAGACAUUGGGUAGUUGAAGACUUAAAAUGCCAUCUCUUCAAGUUAGUUCUUUUGUUUGUUUGUUUUGUGUUUUGUGUGUGUGUGUGUGUGUCUUCAUUUUGAUAUGCACUUCAGUAAGGUCUUCAUCUUUCAUAUUAAUCAGAAGUGUUUUUUGUUUGUUUGUUUGUUUGUUUUUAAUCUAGGUCUAUGGGUCCUACAAAGGCAAAGAAUCUUUUCAAACUUGACAGAAGUUGGAUGAUGUCAAUGAAUGUGCAAAUAUGCCUGAUGCUAUGGAACUAGUCCAAAGGCCAUUAAAAUCAACUGCAAUCUUUCCACUGACUUGUGUGUAUUCUGCCUCACCUCCUUGGGGUGAAAUACUGUCAGUGAAAUGAGAUCAAGAGUGGUGCAUGAUGCCAAUUUUCAAAAUUUUAUUGCCAGCAGAGAAAUGUUUCUUGAAGAACUGUUGGGUUUUGCCAUCUGCGUUCUCAGUCCUGAAGAUAGUUUUCUAUCUCUUCUGUCUUGCUGCAAGAUAACACAAGCACUACUGGCAGAAUAAGGACUGACGUGGGGCCAAGGCAGGGCAACACCCCAGAC